ACUUAAUAGGCAAAGCAAUUGAAAAAUUGUGACGCAAAGCUAUAGGGUCUUUAAAAUGACAGCCAGUUGC
rnacentral:ncRNA from 1 species